GACGAACGCUGGCGGCGUGCUUAACACAUGCAAGUCGAACGGAAAGGCCCUGCUUUUGUGGGGUGCUCGAGUGGCGAACGGGUGAGUAACACGUGAGUAACCUGCCCUUGACUUUGGGAUAACUUCAGGAAACUGGGGCUAAUACCGGAUAGGAGCUCCUGCUGCAUGGUGGGGGUUGGAAAGUUUCGGCGGUUGGGGAUGGACUCGCGGCUUAUCAGCUUGCUGGUGGGGUAGUGGCUUACCAAGGCUUUGACGGGUAGCCGGCCUGAGAGGGUGACCGGCCACAUUGGGACUGAGAUACGGCCCAGACUCCUACGGGAGGCAGCAGUGGGGAAUAUUGCACAAUGGGCGGAAGCCUGAUGCAGCAACGCCGCGUGCGGGAUGACGGCCUUCGGGUUGUAAACCGCUUUCGCCAGUGACGAAGCGUGAGUGACGGUAAUGGGUAAAGAAGCACCGGCUAACUACGUG
rnacentral:rRNA from 1 species